CUGCAUGGAGUAACUCUUGUGUGCAUUCGCUACAAGCAUUUAUGUACAUUAUCUCAUUCUGUAAAGAGAAGGAGAAUAAGACGAUUCGACAUUGGUAAAUACAGCCUAAGAAGCAAGUAGAGACAUGGUUCUGUCGUUGGCAUCUUCGCACCUGACCGUCCUCGUUUCAAGAAACAACACUGUCUUUGGAAGAUAAAAUAGUAUAGAGCGCAUAAAAACGAACGCCUCCGAAUUGAGAGUGGAAACGAACUUGACAUCAAUUUGUAAAUUCAAAAGCUGCUACAACAUCAGUGAUGAAGGACACCUGAAGCAAUACCUCUUAGCUUCUGCUUUG